rnacentral:rRNA from 1 species
UACGUAGGGGGCAAGCGUUGUCCGGAUUUAUUGGGCGUAAAGAGCGUGUAGGCGGUUUGGUAGGUCCGUCGUGAAAACUCGAGGCUCAACCUCGAGACGCCGAUGGAAACCAUCAGACUAGAGUCCGGAAGAGGAGAGUGGAAUUCCUGGUGUAGCGGUGAAAUGCGCAGAUAUCAGGAGGAACACCAAUUGCGAAGGCAGCUCGCUGGGACGUGACUGACGCUGAGACGCGAAAGCGUGGGGAGCAAACAGG